UACGAAGGGGGCUAGCGUUGCUCGGAAUCACUGGGCGUAAAGCGCACGUAGGCGGUUCUUUAAGUCAGGGGUGAAAUCCUGGAGCUCAACUCCAGAACUGCCUCUGAUACUGAAGGACUCGAGUUCGGGAGAGGUGAGUGGAACUGCGAGUGUAGAGGUGAAAUUCGUAGAUAUUCGCAAGAACACCAGUGGCGAAGGCGGCUCACUGGCCCGAUACUGACGCUGAGGUGCGAAAGCGUGGGGAGCAAACAGG
rnacentral:rRNA from 1 species